UAAGUAAGUGGUGGAAAUUAAACCAAAUGGGAUUCCUUUAGUAAUUGCGAAUGAACAAGGAUAUGCUUAGCUUGAUAAUUGGGGCUUCUGGCUUUGAAUUGUGUUUUUGAAAUGUAUUACCAACAGAGGUGCAGGUGUUAGCAUAUUGGAAGAAAGCGUCAAUGAGGGUGAGAAUCCUUUUUGUCAUGUGCAGUCCUCUGUGCACGGUGUAUGUUUGCUGAGUCACACUCCUUGGCAUUGGAAUGCAAAGUGGGUGGUAAGUUUCAUGUAAAGGUAAAUAUAUGAUUGAGACUGAUAGUGCACAAGUACCAUGAGGGAAAUAUGAAAAGGACUUUGAAAAGAGAAUUAAAUGAGUUUGUAUUUGCUGAACAGAAAGUAAACAGAUUUGAUUUUGCUGGGUGAGAUUGUGGUGCUUGCUUGACACUUAUGUGGUUGUAAGUACAAUGAUUCUUACUUUGUGUGCCAGUUUUUUGCACAUUUGAACAUUCUUGCGUAUGAAUGGUAAUAUUCCUGUGGGGGUUGGAUUGCAUACGUAUGUAAGCAUUUGUGUUCUGAACUAUGUGUUUGGUGACUUUGUUUGUACGCUAUGUGUACAGAAGGUGUUUCUUCCUGGGUCAACAAGCCUUAACAC
rnacentral:rRNA from 1 species